ACAACAAGGUCAUUCCCAAGAGCGUAGAGACGUGCUUGUUGAUAAAGAUUCGACAAAGCGGUAACCAGGAGGUUGAGGCUGCUUUGAAAGUUAACCAGAAGGAUAUUCUACAUGUGAAGGGAAGACACCAUAACAGGUCUAUAGAAGGAGAUUUCCGUCAUGACGUGAACUUGGAUUUGAACCAUUCAACUCAGCUGAGGAUCCCUCAGGCACUGGGCCUUCAUGGUGAGAUCUUCUUCAGGCAGCAUCCGGCAGGAGAGUUUGACUGUGGUGUAACCCUGCAAGCUGCUGUCAACCAGA